GGGGGGGGGGGUCAGUUCAGGACUGCAGUUCUCAAUUUACUGAUUCAACUUUCACUGGAGUAUUGCAACUAAUUCUGGGCCCCACACAGUAGGACCUAUCAGAGGAUACAGGAAGGAUUCAGAAGACGAGUCACAGGCAUGAAGGACUCUGGGAUGUAUGUGAGAAGUUGGAGAGUUGUUGUCCUUGACGAAGCAUAGAGGUGAUCAAGGUCAGAAAUCUCAUCACAUCAAGUUAUAGGCCAACAAUUUGAAAACAUAAGCUUUCAGAGUCGAAAACAUGGUAUAAAAACAAUAAAUGGUACUGUAUUAAACACCAACAAGCCACGACCAGUUCUCACUGGUCUUACUAUACACAGACAAAGAAGGACAUGAAUUCGACUAGGACAACACAUCCAUAAUAGCACAUGCCAAACAGAAACAAGCCAUGGAAUUUCUGGAGGCUUAGCAUUCCAACCAGAACUCCAUCAACAAACAUGAACUGGACCUGAUAUACAAACUACUGAGAAACACAACGGAAGUGAUGCCAACGGAAGCAUAUAAAUAACACGCAGGACACAAUACUGACACUUCAUUGGAGAAGGUGAGGGUUGUUCCUCCAGGUCGUGUUGAGCUUCGCUGGAGGACUGCAGCAGGUCUGAAACAGAAAUGUUGGCAUGGGAACACAGUGGCACGUUGAAGUGUCAAAUCACUGGAAGGUUGGAGUCAUUUUUGUAUACAGAAUUUCAUAAAGCAGUCACCCAGUCUGUUUUGUCUACACAAUAUAGAGGAUUGUGAACAGCCAAUACAGUGACUACAUUGAAUGAAGUGCAGAUCAUUUCUCAGCUCACUGUUCAAGAAAGCACUUACAAUUCAUGGAACUUGCAUCAACCCAGGAGACUCACCUGUGUAAAAUGGAAAAAAAAAGCUUUCUGCAAUCCAGCCAAGGUUGAGACACAUAACCUCAGAUGCCCAUCCAUCAGGCUGGAACACAAGACUAUGCAGAGUAAUUACAUUUUUUUUGUUUUUUUUAAAUUUAACCCAUUGUUCUAGUCAACCUGUUCAGAUGUUAAUACACAAGUCAGGAGCAAAAUCCAUACCUCUCAAAUAAGGGUAGGCACACUAUUGCUGCACCACCGUGGGGGGCUCAUUAUAUGAACAUCGCAAAAUUUCUUAUUGUAAAAUUUGUUUCAGGUAUAACAAAAUAAUAAAUUUAUUCUACAUUUUUACACUUGAAACAAACUAAUACUUCCUUUUAGACGACUGUCAAAAGGCUAGUGCUAGGUGGUGGUGAUGCUAUGUUUGAAACCUGUUGCAUGAACUGAGGCAUCAAAUUAAGCUUUUAUUUUCACACAGUACAAGUUAAAAAUUAUUUGCAAAUUAAACUGUGUGAAGCUAUGAAAGUGGGACUAGGCUAAUCAACACUUGUAGCCCCUUUCAAUAUUCAAAUCAGUCACUGCUAAUCUCUACCAUAAAUACACUUAGUCAAAAGUGAUACACAUAUCCUUUGAUAGCCUGUUUAAAGCCUGGGGUUAGACUAAUUUUUAAGUUUGACUUAACUUUCUACAAAUGUAGUCACAAUCUUCACACAGUUGGAUUUAUUUUUGGCUUAGUUCACUUCUUAAGCUCUUGCUUGAGAAGCUUAAUAGGUAUUUGUAUGCAACUUACGGAAUAAAAUCACAUUACGUUGGUCUCUAUUAAAUGUGUAACAAAUGCCAGGUGGUUGUCAGGUUGGGGGAAUAGUUUCAGGUGUAAAUAUUUUGGAAAAUGCUUUCAUAAAUUUUCCAAAGAGAUGACCACUUCAGGGUAUUUGUUCAACUUCUUGAUGACAUGGAUGGCAACUUCCUCUUGAAAUAGCACAAACAUGGAGACCAUAUCUUAGCUACCUUCAACUCUCUGGAUCAUCAUGGAUUAAAGCCAGAACAUUUUGCAUGACAACAGCAGCCUCAAGUCUACUCCAGCUGCAAGUCCUUGAUUUUGUGGUAGGCACAGGAUUUUGUGGCACAGCUGUAUUCUGCAGCAAACAUCACCAUGAAGACAGAAUGAAGGAAGCUCAAAUCCAUUAAACAAACUGACUUGAAUUAUAUCUGGCACAAAAGAAAGACUGUUAUGGCUGCUGAAAGUCCAUCUUUUCAGCCGCAUAUUAUAGGAGGUCCCCACAGAAGUAUCCUCGACCUGAAAAUUCUUGACUGCUUCACAACCAGCUUUUCCUCCAUCAUAAAGUUACAAGGGAGGACUUUUCUGAUGACUGCCCAGUAUUCAGGUUUGGGCUGUUAACAGUCAAAACAUUCAAUUGAGUGCCAGACAAUGAUGAUGACUGAUAUUCCAACCAUCUCUUGACAUUAAACAGUAUUGCCAUCUCUGAAUCCGCCAGCAUCAACAUCCAGGGGGUCACCCACUGACCACAAACUUAAAAACUAGACAGAUACAUAAAUAUUGUUACGGCGAGAGGAAGUCAGAGACUGGAAACUCAGCAAAUAUCUCACCUCCUCAGAGCCUGUCCAGCACUUGCAACAAACAAGUCAAGACAUAUAAUGGAAUACUCUUCACUUUCCUGGAUGACUGAACCCCAACAACUACGUGGUUAACCUUUAUGAAGGACAAAGCCUGCUUGACCAGCACUCCCUACCACCUCAGAUGACUGUGGAUCCAGUAUCUAAUAUUCACAUGUAUUGCAGCAAUUCAUCAAGGCUCCAAUGAUAUCCUCACCUAAACAUGAUAUCUCUGGACACCCAGAAGGACAAAGGCAGCAGUCAAGCAGAGGACCAUCAUCUCAAGGCAAAACACCAAUUUGAGUUGAAAGUACACUUCUAUUCCUUCAUUUCCACUGGGUCAAUAUUUGGAACUCCCUUCCUAACAGCACUGAGUGUAUCCCUAACUCCACAGAUUAAAACAGAUUAAGAAGUCAGCUCACUACCAUUUUCCCCAUGGUGAUUAAAGAUGAGCAAUAAAUAAUGGUCUAACCAGCGAUGCUCACAUUCCAUGAAUUAUUAAGAGAAAUAUCAUUUAAGCUUUUCCAUCAUUCAGUAGUAAUAUUUGCCUUCCAAAGUGAAAUUUAUUAAAAACUGUAGACUGUAAAAUUCCUAACAAUUACCCAUUUUAUUGGCUGUCAAAAUGAAAUUACCCUAACAUACUUAGAAAAACAGUUCGUACAUUUUCUGCUUUUGAGUAAGCAACAAAGUGGAAACCUAUCCUUUUCGUAGUUUGUAGCAAAUAAUAUUUUUAAAAGGU